GACCAUCAUCGAGCUUCGUCGCCCAGCCUGGUCUAGUCAAGCCUUUUCUACCGACAACUUGUUCCACCAUGCGUUUCUUCGUUUCAAUGGUUCUUCUUGUGGCCCUUUGCGUGGCUUACUUCCCAGGAGCCUUUUCGACGCCCAUAGGAAAUGAAGAGAAAGCUGUAAUGUUCGAUCGUGACACGCUGGAGUCGUUGCAAGAAGAAAUCGAUAAAACGCCGUGUGACCCUAAAAAGUACAACUUGUGCAUUAGCGGACCGCACGGAUGCUUUAGAAAAAUACCUUUGCCCGACUGCGUCAAGAAAUGUUUAAAACAAUGUUGAAUUUAGCUGUGCCGAACAUCUGAACGCAACUCGUGACUAGCAAUUACGGACACCGACAUUGGUUCUUUCACCUUGAUUCUUUAAUUCUUUACCUAUCGUUUCGUGCAUAGAAUAAACUGCACUAAAAACAUCUAA